rnacentral:rRNA from 1 species
CCCUUCGGGGGAGCGGCGGACGGGUUAGUAACGCGUGGGAACGUGCCCUUCUCUACGGAAUAGCCUCGGGAAACUGAGAGUAAUACCGUAUACGCCCUUAGGGGGAAAGAUUUAUCGGAGAAGGAUCGGCCCGCGUUGGAUUAGGUAGUUGGUGGGGUAAUGGCCUACCAAGCCGACGAUCCAUAGCUGGUUUGAGAGGAUGAUCAGCAACACUGGGACUGAGACACGGCCCAGACUCCUACGGGAGGCAGCAGUGGGGAAUCUUAGACAAUGGGGGAAACCCUGAUCUAGCCAUGCCGCGUGAGUGACGAAGGCCCUAGGGUCGUAAAGCUCUUUCGCUAGGGAAGAUAAUGACGGUACCUAGUAAAGAAGUCCCGGCUAACUCCGUGCCAGCAGCCGCGGUAAUACGGAGGGGACUAGCGUUGUUCGGAAUUACUGGGCGUAAAGCGCGCGUAGGCGGACUAUUAAGUCAGGGGUGAAAUCCCGGGGCUCAACCCCGGAACUGCCUUUGAUACUGGUAGUCUUGAGAUCGAGAGAGGUGAGUGGAAUUCCGAGUGUAGAGGUGGAAUUCGUAGAUAUUCGGAGGAACACCAGUGGCGAAGGCGGCUCACUGGCUCGACACUGACGCUGAGGUGCGAAAGUGUGGGGAGCAAACAGGAUUAAUACCCUGGUAGUCCAC